AUUGAACGCUGGCGGCAGGCUUAACACAUGCAAGUCGAGCGGAGCGAGGGUGCUUGCACCUUAGCUUAGCGGCGGACGGGUGAGUAAUGCUUAGGAAUCUGCCUAUUAGUGGGGGACAACAUUCCGAAAGGGAUGCUAAUACCGCAUACGCCCUACGGGGGAAAGCAGGGGAUCUUCGGACCUUGCGCUAAUAGAUGAGCCUAGGUCGGAUUAGCUAGUUGGUGGGGUAAAGGCCUACCAAGGCGACGAUCUGUAGCGGGUCGGAUAGGAUGAUCCGCCACACUGGGACUGAGACACGGCCCAGACUCCUACGGGAGUCAGCAGUGGGGAAUAUUGGACAAUGGGUGGAACCCUGAUCCAGCCAUGCCGCGUGUGUGAAGAAGGCCUUUUGGUUGUAAAGCACUUUAAGCGAGGAGGAGGCGCUCUAGGAUAAUACCCUAGAUGCGUGGACGUUACUCGCAGAAUAAGCACCGGCUAACUCUGUGCCAGCAGCCGCCGUAAAAC
rnacentral:rRNA from 1 species